rnacentral:rRNA from 1 species
UACGUAGGGGGCAAGCGUUGUCCGGAAUCAUUGGGCGUAAAGCACGUGUAGGCGGUUCGGUAAGUCUGCUGUGAAAGUCCAGGGCUCAACCCUGGGAUGCCGGUGGAUACUGUCGAACUAGAGUACGGAAGAGGCGAGUGGAAUCCCGGUGUAGCGGUGAAAAUGCGCAGAUAUCGGGAGGAACACCAAUUGCGAAGGCACUCGCUGGGACGUCACUGACGCUGAGACGCGAAAGCGUGGGGAGCAAACAGG